GAUUAGAUCUCAAAUCAGGUAGGACUACCCGCUGAACUUAAGCA
rnacentral:rRNA from 1 species